UACGUAGGGUGCGAGCGUUGUCCGGAAUUAUUGGGCGUAAAGAGCUUGUAGGCGGUUUGUCGCGUCUGCCGUGAAAUUUCGGGGCUCAACCCCGAACUUGCGGUGGGUACGGGCAGACUAGAGUGUGGUAGGGGAGACUGGAAUUCCUGGUGUAGCGGUGAAAUGCGCAGAUAUCAGGAGGAACACCGAUGGCGAAGGCAGAUCUCUGGGCCGUAACUGACGCUGAGGAGCGAAAGCGUGGGGAGCGAACAGG
rnacentral:rRNA from 1 species